UUGCUGGCUAAAAUGUUGAAACAGUUACCGACAGGUACAUUACAAGGAAGAAGUGAAUCACAUGAAGACAACUGUUCCUAGGGGACACUUCUGUUCCUGAGUGCAGAUCAACAGGACAUGAAGAAAUACAAAAGUGACUUAGAUGUCCCAGACAGAGGAAAUACUUGUCACAGUUCUGAGAAGGCACUUAUUAGAAAGGAGUAUGGUCCUGUGAGUAAUCGGCCUGUUAGCUCUCAAGUAAAACCAGUACACAAGAUUUCUAUUUCCUAAAUAAGAUUCCUUGUGGUGAACCUCAAGUGAUCUCUUAAGUUCACAAAUCAAGCUCCUGCAACCCUUCUGAGCUUCAGAUUCCUAUCUCCAGGUCUGUGGUAGCCAUCGUCACUGGGGCAGAACUUCUAAUUGUCUCCUCAAUCCUAUGGCUGUUGCAAGAUCCCCAUCUUAGUCACUGAGACUCUGGUCAGACAUCUGAUCUCACAUCUAUUAUCUUCUAAGAUAACAGAAGAAUCUUCAAGCCCAUUGUGACAGUGACCCUGUCUCCUUCUGUGUCACCCACCAAGUCCUAUCUACCAUUAAAGUAUUUAAAACAG